CAGCAGCCGCGGGAAUACGAGGGGAGCUAGCGUUGUUCGGAAUUACUGGGCGUAAAGCGCGCGUAGGCGGCUUUUUAAGUCAGAGGUGAAAGCCCGGGGCUCAACCCCGGAAUUGCCUUUGAAACUGGAAAGCUAGAAUCUUGGAGAGGUCAGUGGAAUUCCGAGUGUAGAGGUGAAAUUCGUAGAUAUUCGGAAGAACACCAGUGGCGAAGGCGACUGACUGGACAAGUAUUGACGCUGAGGUGCGAAAGCGUGGGGAGCAAACAGGAUUAGAUACCCGUGUAGUCCCUGUCUCUUAUAC
rnacentral:rRNA from 1 species